rnacentral:rRNA from 1 species
AACGAACGCUGGCGGCAUGCCUAACACGUGCCAGUCGAACGAGACCUUCGGGUCUAGUGGCGCACGGGUGCGUAACGCGUGGGAACCUGCCCUUAGGUUCGGAAUAACUCCCCGAAAGGGGUGCUAAUACCGGAUAAUGUCUUCGGACCAAAGAUUUAUCGCCUUUGGAUGGGCCCGCGUUGGAUUAGCUAGUUGGUAGGGUAAAAGCCUACCAAGGCGACGAUCCAUAGCUGGUCUGAGAGGAUGAUCAGCCACACUGGGACUGAGACACGGCCCAGACUACUACGGGAGGCAGCAGUGGGGAAUAUUGGACAAUGGGCGAAAGCCUGAUCCAGCAAUGCCGCGUGAGUGAUGAAGGCCUUAGGGUUGUAAAGCUCUUUUACCCGGGAUGAUAAUGACAGUACCGGGAGAAUAAGCUCCGGCUAACUCCGUG